rnacentral:rRNA from 1 species
UACGGGGGGGGCAAGCGUUGUUCGGAAUUACUGGGCGUAAAGGGCUCGUAGGCGGCCAACUAAGUCGGAUGUGAAAUCCCCAGGCUCAACCUGGGAACUGCAUCCGAUACUGGAUGGCUUGAAUUCGGGAGAGGGAUGCAGAAUUCCAGGUGUAGCGGUGAAAUGCGUAGAUAUCUGGAGGAAUACCGGUGGCGAAGGCGGCAUCCUGGACCGACAUUGACGCUGAUGAGCGAAAGCUAGGGGAGCGAACGGG